UCAAUAAGAAGAAAUAUUACUGUUUUUGAAAACAUACCUAAGUGGAUUGAUUCUACCUUCUUUUUUAUGUUGUGGCCUUCGAUUGUUCCUCCAAGUUCCGCCUAUGUAGAAAUUCUAGAGCUGAGUCCAGUUCUCAAAAGGUCAUCUGGAUGAGAAUGAAAGCAACAGAGAUAUUGUGUUUUUUAUAAAUUGAAGGUUUGUGGCAACCUUACAUUGAGCAAGUCAAUCGGCACCAUUUUACCAUCCAGCGCAGAUGGUGGAAAUAUUUUUUAAUUGAGGCAUCAGAAAGCUUAAAGAAUUUGAGGCAAUUGUCCUUGAGAUUUUGGAACUUACAAAUUGGCAUGAGAAUUGAUGAAUGAAGAAAACAUGAAUGUGUGAAAAAAGAACAUAUCUGCAAGGAUAUGUAUCAGCUAAGAGAAAUAGGAAAUAAUAUCAUCAGCAGAGGGUUGUGAUGGUGUUGGAAAUUUGAGGACAUGGAAUAAUUAUCUAAGUGGGAGACUGAAUGGACCAUGAAGACAGAAUGAUUAAUGGGCAAGGGUCCUCUUGAGGUUGGAGAUUAUGGAGUAAA